AAAUUGAAGAGUUUGAUCAUGGCUCAGAUUGAACGCUGGCGGCAGGCCUAACACAUGCAAGUCGAACGGUAACAGGAAACAGCUUGCUGUUUCGCUGACGAGUGGCGGACGGGUGAGUAAUGUCUGGGAAACUGCCUGAUGGAGGGGGAUAACUACUGGAAACGGUAGCUAAUACCGCAUAACGUCGCAAGACCAAAGAGGGGGACCUUCGGGCCUCUUGCCAUCGGAUGUGCCCAGAUGGGAUUAGCUUGUUGGUGGGGUAAAGGCUCACC
rnacentral:rRNA from 2 species